UACGUAGGGCGCAAGCGUUAUCCGGAAUUAUUGGGCGUAAAGAGCUCGUAGGCGGUUUGUCGCGUCUGCCGUGAAAGUCCGGGGCUCAACUCCGGAUCUGCGGUGGGGUACGGGCAGACUAGAGUGAUGUAGGGGAGACUGGAAUUCCUGGUGUAGCGGUGAAAUGCGCAGAUAUCAGGAGGAACACCGAUCGGCGAAGGCAGGUCUCGUGGGCAUUAACUGACGCUGAGGAGCGAAAGCAUGGAGAGCGAACAGG
rnacentral:rRNA from 1 species